rnacentral:sRNA from 1 species
UGUUUACAUUUAGCUCGCAAAGUUUUUGGAAAGUUUUUCCCUUAAUUUGAUGUUUUCACCGAGGCGCUUUACUUGUUAACCACCCUGGGAUUUUCCGAGGACUUCUGGAUAUUUGUAACGGUUUCAGCGAGGUAAUUUAGCCGCCGUUUUUUGUGUUUAUUAACUUGUUUAUAUUAAGGGACGUUGGUGGACGAGGGUGAGACCCCCGCGCUCUUCAUGAUAUGUGUAUGGGCCGGACUUUAAAACAUUGGUAGAUUUCUUCGACCAAGGAUCAUCUGUGUACUGAUCAAAAUAAUUUAUAUCUUCAUUCAGCUUAAUUAUAAUAUUAAUCUGUCAGUCAUUGUUCGCCCUGUUCGGAGGUAAACAACAGAUCACGUGACCUGAAAACAAGAUGACAAUAUUGUGUGUCGGUGAUUCUCAUGUGAAGCGUUUUGGUGCAUUUAUUGACAGUCAAGCUUCUGCUGAUGUCUUUAAAAUUGCGAACCUUCCACAAGUGAACUUUUUUGGCAUUAGUGGAGGUGCAGUGACAAAUCCACGCCACUUGCGAACAUCGUCCCACAUGUCUUAUCGUGCACAUGGGUGGUAAUGAUUUGGACAGUCGGGAUAAUGCAAUUGACACUGUUGUGUUUGGUUUGACUGCAUUUUUGACCCAGAUUCGAGUUCAAUUCCACAUUGUUCAUAUUACAGUGAUCCGAUUUGGAUGGGGGUUAUCAAACUACAGAAAUCUGCAGCUUUGAUAUGUGGCGGAAGAUACCCCAUCUUUGACACUUUUUUGUAAAUAGAAAUUGCCAUGUUUUAUUGUCUUAUGUUCUCUGUUUAUUCUAGUCACAAUACUGUGUUAUUUAUCUAUGUUUUAUAUAUGCAAGAUUGCUUCUUUGAUUAACAGUAUUGUGUUUUUGUAGUUUACAUUGUGGCAUCUUUAUGUUAUAUUUUGUACAUUGUCAUUUAUUAUAUUAUUUAAUAAAUGACCAUUCUUAUUACUUAAUCAAUGUCUUGAGUUGUAUUGUGUCAAACCGAGCAUCACCAUAUCAGUUAUCCAUAAAAUAUAUUUAUGAACAUAAAACAUUUAUGGAUACUGAUUCAUAUUUACCGCCAUUAACUGUAUAUAAACUGUCAGAGUUUACUAUUGAGCAUGCGCAGCUUUUAAGCGUCAUUCGCCAUUGUUUACAUUUAGCUCGCAAAGUUUUUCCUCCGCCCACCCCACCUCCGUGAGAGAGUUAUUCUUGUCCUUGAAGCAUUAAAUACCUCAUCUUCGACAUUGUUUUAUUGUCUUAUGUUCUCUGUUAUUGGCGGAAGAUACCCCAUCUUUGACACUUUUUUGUAAAUAGAAAUUGCCAUGUUUUAUUGUCUUAUGUUCUCUGUUUAUUCUAGUCACAAUACUGUGUUAUUUAUCUAUGUUUUAUAUAUGCAAGAUUGCUUCUUUGAUUAACAUAUUGUGUUUUUGUAGUUUACAUUGUGGCAUCUUUAUGUUAUAUUUUGUACUUUGUCAUUUAUUAUAUUAUUUAAUAAAUGACCAUUCUUAUUACUU